UCCAACGUUAAUCGGGGCAGGGUGAGUCGACCCCUAAGGCGAGGCCGAAAGGCGUAGUCGAUGGGAAACGGGUUAAUAUUCCCGUACUUGGUGUUACUGCGAAGGGGGGACGGAGAAGGCUAUGUUGGCCGGGCGACGGUUGUCCCGGUUUAAGCGUGUAGGUGUGUGUUCCAGGUAAAUCCGGUUCACUUUAACACUGAGGCGUGAUGACGAGGCACUACGGUGCUGAAGCAACAAAUGCCCUGCUUCCAGGAAAAGCCUCUAAGCAUCAGGUAACAUCAAAUCGUACCCCAAACCGACACAGGUGGUCAGGUAGAGAAUACCAAGGCGCUUGAGAGAACUCGGGUGAAGGAACUAGGCAAAAUGGUGCCGUAACUUCGGGAGAAGGCACGCUGACACGUAGGUGAAGUGAUUUACUCAUGGAGCUGAAGUCAGUCGAAGAUACCAGCUGGCUGCAACUGUUUAUUAAAAACACAGCACUGUGCAAACACGAAAGUGGACGUAUACGGUGUGACGCCUGCCCGGUGCCGGAAGGUUAAUUGAUGGGGUCAGCGCAAGCGAAGCUCCUGAUCGAAGCCCCGGUAAACGGCGGCCGUAACUAUAACGGUCCUAAGGUAGCGAAAUUCCUUGUCGGGUAAGUUCCGACCUGCACGAAUGGCGUAAUGAUGGCCAGGCUGUCUCCACCCGAGACUCAGUGAAAUUGAACUCGCUGUGAAGAUGCAGUGUACCCGCGGCAAGACGGAAAGACCCCGUGAACCUUUACUAUAGCUUGACACUGAACAUUGAGCCUUGAUGUGUAGGAUAGGUGGGAGGCUUUGAAGUGUGGACGCCAGUCUGCAUGGAGCCGACCUUGAAAUACCACCCUUUAAUGUUUGAUGUUCUAACGUGGACCCGUAAUCCGGGUUGCGGACAGUGUCUGGUGGGUAGUUUGACUGGGGCGGUCUCCUCCUAAAGAGUAACGGAGGAGCACGAAGGUUGGCUAAUCCUGGUCGGACAUCAGGAGGUUAGUGCAAUGGCAUAAGCCAGCUUGACUGCGAGCGUGACGGCGCGAGCAGGUGCGAAAGCAGGUCAUAGUGAUCCGGUGGUUCUGAAUGGAAGGGCCAUCGCUCAACGGAUAAAAGGUACUCCGGGGAUAACAGGCUGAUACCGCCCAAGAGUUCAUAUCGACGGCGGUGUUUGGCACCUCGAUGUCGGCUCAUCACAUCCUGGGGCUGAAGUAGGUCCCAAGGGUAUGGCUGUUCGCCAUUUAAAGUGGUACGCGAGCUGGGUUUAGAACGUCGUGAGACAGUUCGGUCCCUAUCUGCCGUGGGCGCUGGAGAACUGAGGGGGGCUGCUCCUAGUACGAGAGGACCGGAGUGGACGCAUCACUGGUGUUCGGGUUGUCAUGCCAAUGGCACUGCCCGGUAGCUAAAUGCGGAAGAGAUAAGUGCUGAAAGCAUCUAAGCACGAAACUUGCCCCGA
rnacentral:rRNA from 1 species